UACGUAGGGUGCAAGCGUUAAUCGGAAUACUGGGCGUAAAGCGUGCGCAGGCGGUGAUGUAAGACAGUUGUGAAAUCCCGGCUCAACCUGGAACUGCAUCUGUGACUGCAUCGCUGGAGUGCGGCAGAGGGAUGGAAUUCCGCGUGUAGCAGUGAAAUGCGUAGAUAUGCGGAGGACACCGAUGGCGAAGGCGGCUCACUGGACCGGUUCUGACGCUGAGGCGCGAAAGCGUGGAGCAAC
rnacentral:rRNA from 1 species